GCUAGAUGAUGUAUUUCAUAUUUGCUACUUCAGACGGGGCUUGCCAGCUUCGAAUGAGACAUAUUUUAUCACCAAGAUCUCUGAUACU
rnacentral:snoRNA from 1 species